CCAGCCGGCCGGGCGGCCGCUCCCGUCAUAUGUCGAAAGGCGGCGGGGGAGGAAAGUCCGGGCUCCACGGAGAAACGGUGCCGGGUAACGCCCGGCGGGGGUGACCCCAGGGAAAGUGCCACAGAAAACAAACCGCCUUCGGCUUCGGCCGAAGGUAAGGGUGAAACGGUGGGGUAAGAGCCCACCGCGUUUCCAGCAAUGGCGACGGCAGGGCAAACCCCACCGGGAGCAAGACCGAAUAGGAACGACGCGGCGGGAAACCGCCAGGCCUCUCCGGCCCUGUCGUUCGGGUGGGUUGCUUGAGGCGUCGCGCGAGCGGCGUCCCAGAGGAAUGGUCGCCGGGCGGCGAAAGCCGCCGCACAGAACCCGGCUUAUAGGCCGGCUGGCCUU
rfam:Aureimonas ureilytica strain NS365 contig_28, whole genome shotgun sequence.